rnacentral:ncRNA from 2 species
UUGUUCUGUCCUGUUUUGGGACACAAGCAGAGCAUCUGCAUGACCUUCUCUACCUCAUGCUCUGCCUGUGUCCCAAAAUAGGCAGAACAUC